rnacentral:lncRNA from 1 species
AGCCUUUCCCCAAGCUAGCUCCAGCACUUCAGAGACCCAAGGUGCUCCCUCAUGGCCUGAGUUGCAUGGAUCCUUAAUGGAAAACUGAAUCACAGCUGCCUGCCCGACUGGCCUACAGAGACAAUAGGCCACAACCAAACACAGCAAUAACAUCCUUCCAUAGAAUUGUAUCCCAACUCCUACAAAUAUGAUAAUGGCCUCCAGUUCCAUCCGUGUUGCUGCAAAGGAUAUAAUUUCAUUAUUUUUUAUGGCUGCAUAAUAUUUCAUGGUAUGUAUGUACUAUAUUUUCUUUAUCCAGUCCACUGUUGAUGGGCAUGUGUGUUGAUACCAUGUCUUCGCCAUUGUGAAUAGUGUUGU